GCGAGUGAAGCGGGAUGAGCUCAAAUUUAAAAUCUGGCGGCUUUGCCGUCCGAGUUGUAAUCUGGAGAAGCGUUUUCCGCGUCGGACCGUGUACAAGUCUCUUGGAACAGAGCUUCAUAGAGGGUGAGAAUCCCGUCCAUGACACGGACCGCCGAUGCUUUGUGAUACGCUCUCAAAGAGUCGAGUUGUUUGGGAAUGCAGCUCAAAAUGGGUGGUAAAUUCCAUCUAAAGCUAAAUAUUGGCGAGAGACCGAUAGCGAACAAGUACCGUGAGGGAAAGAUGAAAAGCACUUUGGAAAGAGAGUAAAACAGUACGUGAAAUUGUUGAAAGGGAAACGCUUGAAGUCAGUCGCGUUUGCCGGGACUCAGCCUUGCUUCUGCUCGGUGUAUUUCCCGGUAGACGGGUCAACAUCGAUUUUGGCCGACGGAUAAAGGGGUUGGGAAUGUGGCACUCUUCGGGGUGUGUUAUAGCCCUUCUUCCGCAUACGCCGGCCGGGAUCGAGGACCGCAGCGCGCCUUAAUGGCCGGGGGUUCGCCCCACGUUACGCGCUUAGGAUGUUGGCAUAAUGGCUUUAAGCGAC
rnacentral:rRNA from 1 species